rnacentral:rRNA from 1 species
UACAGAGGGGGCAAGCGUUGUUCGGCAUUACUGGGCGUAAAGGGCGCGUAGGCGGCCUGCUAAGUCGAACGUGAAAUCCCCGGGCUUAACCCGGGAACUGCGUCCGAUACUGGCUGGCUUGAAUCCGGGAGAGGGAUGCGGAAUUCCAGGUGUAGCGGUGAAAUGCGUAGAUAUCUGGAGGAACACCGGUGGCGAAGGCGGCAUCCUGGACCGGUAUUGACGCUGAUGCGCGAAAGCUAGGGUAGCAAACAGG